AGCGAACGCUGGCGGCAGGCCUAACACAUGCCAGUCGAACGAACUCUUCGGAGUUAGUGGCGGACGGGUGAGUAACACGUGGGAACGUGCCUUUAGGUUCGGAAUAACUCAGGGAAACUUGUGCUAAUACCGAAUGUGCCCUUCGGGGGAAAGAUUUAUCGCCUUUAGAGCGGCCCGCGUCUGAUUAGCUAGUUGGUGAGGUAAAGGCUCACCAAGGCGACGAUCAGUAGCUGGUCUGAGAGGAUGAUCAGCCACAUUGGGACUGAGACACGGCCCAAACUCCUACGGGAGGCAGCAGUGGGGAAUCUUGCGCAAUGGGCGAAAGCCUGGCGCAGCCAUGCCGCGUGAAUGAUGAAGGUCUUAGGAUUGUAAAAUUCUUUCACCGGGGACGAUAAUGACGGUACCCGGAGAAGAAGCCCCGGCUAACUUCGUG
rnacentral:rRNA from 1 species